CCACGCACCCUCUGGUCACACGCACCGCUUCCUGCCUCUCACCUUAUCUCCUCAGGACCAAGCUCCUCCACUCAUUCGUCCUCCACUCAUUCCAUCCUCCUCCACACGCAUUCCCUUCUCUGCUUCUUCUUUCGCAGAUCACUCUAUCCAUGGUAUCUCAGGCUCCAGGGAGAGAUGGCGUGUACCGCCGUCGAUUUUUUGUUGCCAUGCUCGGCUCAACCUCUCUCCUGUCGCAGGGUAGCCAUGUUCGCCGCGAGCAGGGUAGCCAUGAUUUUUUGCUGCAUAAUUUUUUGCUGGAAGCGCUUUUGGUUUUUGCUGGAACCAUCUUUUUAUUUUUGCUGCAAAUUGAGAGGAUGGUGGUGCCUUCGCCGCAUGAUUGUUUGCUACAUCAUUUUUUUUUUGCUGUAACCGCACCCUUUUUUGCUGGAACCAGCACUCGACUUUUGCUGUUAUGCUAGAAUGGUGCUGGGGCGGCAAUGGACGGUGGCUGCCAUGCGUUUUGCUGCGUCGAGUUUUUGCUGGAAUUAGCAAUUAUUUUUGCUACAUCCUGCCGAAAACAGAGCAUGAACUGAACCGAUACAUUUUUUUGCUACAACUGGACCGGCGACCGGCGCGCGCCAGGGUUGCAGCGACCACCACCGGAGCUGUGGCCGUCGCCAUGGGGAGCUGCAACCGUAGGCGCAGGCUGCUGCAUGCACGAAGCCGGCGACGGCCACCGACAACGAUGAUGGCGACCAACGACGAGGUCAGUGACGGCAACCGACAACGAUGAUGGCGACCAACGACGAGGUCAGUGACGGCGACCGACGACGAGGGCAGCCACAGACGAGAACGCGUUGGCGGUGCUUCAAGGCCCGGCGCGUCUCCUUAAUGGCGGCGCGAUGGAGAAUUUUUCUGAAAGAAGACGAUUGCAGGAAGGAAGGAAGGCAAUAGGGCGGCUAAUGAUUGUUUAAUCGGACAUUGUUGGUGCGACCUGCCCAAAUUUGGGCCGGCGCACCGGCGCCUAUCAGUCGCCUUAUUUUUUCGUUUGCUAAUGCUAACACCAACCAUAAAGCCCACUGCCUGAACGCAUGUGCAGCCCAAUACUCCAAAUGGCCCACACUGUUUACCUUCUCCGUUGCCAUCUACGGCCACCGUAAAACGAAAAGAAACUCUUGGGCUGCAGGUCA